rnacentral:lncRNA from 1 species
GGUACAGUACAGGGCUCUCUCCUUCAGGUCUUUCCCAUAGAGAUUGUAUUUCCCUGCUAUGUAGUUGAGGAUGGCUCUGGUCUGCACCAACUUCAUCCCGUCGAUCUCCACCAUGGGCACUUGCUGGAACAUGAGGAUUCCACUUUGCAGGAGCUUCUCAUACUGCUCUCGUGUUUCCAAAAACACCUCUUCAAACUCAACCCCAGCUGCAGCCAGCAGCCAGCGGAUCGACUCCAUUUUGCCUCUUCC